rnacentral:lncRNA from 1 species
ACAUUACUACCCUUAGUAAAGUAUGUGUUAGGCUGCAGAACAACAAAAACUGAGGUUCUGGAAACUUUACUAUCCCUAGUAAAGUAUGUGUUAGGCUGCAGAACAACAAAAUCUAAUGCUUUGGAACAUUACUAACCCCAGUAAAGUUUACUACCCCUAGAACAUACUUUACUAGGGUGUACAACAACAAAAACUGAGGUUCUGAAAACAUUACUACCCAUAGUAAAGUAUGUGUUAGGCUGCAGAACAACAAAAUCUGAUGCUUUGGAACAUUACUAACCCCAGUAAAGUUUACUAUGGGUUGUAAAAUGUUAUUUAUAUCUGUUGGUUGAUCUAAGGUUAAUCAUAUUUGUUUUUUAAAUGCAGAAGGAUGUGAUAGAGCAUGAAACAAUGUUGGAACUGCACAAGCUAAGUGGAGGAACAACUGGAGACUUCAAAAGUGGUUAUGAACUCGGUAUGGAGGAAAACUUCUAUAACCCACUUUGGACCCUGUUUGGAAAGCAGAUGGUCUUCAUUCCGUUACAUCACGGGUCCAGCCUUCACUACACUUUGCUGCUGAUUGACAACAUCAACAAAUGCUUUUAUCACAUGAACUCUUCGCUGCCAACACCGUACAAAGAAAAAGACAACUUUCACUUCAAAAAUGCAAAAGCAGUGGUGAGUAAACAAUCAAAACAUUUUUAUUAAAAAAAAAAAUGCAAAGCAUUCAAUUGUUAAGGUUAACUAAUGUUUAAAAAUUGUUUUGUUGCUUAAUAUACAGGUGAAGCACAUCAAGGAGUUCAUCAAACGUAUAC